GACGAACGCUGGCGGCGUGCCUAAUACAUGCAAGUAGAACGCUGAGGAGAGCUUGCUUCUCUGGUGAGUUGCGAACGGGUGAGUAACGCGUAGGUAACCUGCCUGGUAGCGGGGGAUAACUAUUGGAAACGAUAGCUAUACCGCAUAAGAGUAGAUGUUGCAUGACAUUUGCUUAAAAGGUGCAAUUGCAUCACUACCAGAUGGACCUGCGUUGUAUUAGCUAGUUGGUGAGGUAACGGCUCACCAAGGCGACGAUACAUACCGACCUGAGAGGGUGAUCGCCACACUGGGACUGAGACACGGCCCAGACUCCUACGGGAGGCAGCAGUAGGGAAUCUUCGGCAAUGGACGGAGUCUGACCGAGCAACGCCGCUGAGUGAAGAAGGUUCGGAUCGUAAAGCUCUGUUUAAGAGAAGAACGAGUGUGAGAGU
rnacentral:rRNA from 1 species